rnacentral:rRNA from 1 species
UACGUAGGUGACCAGCGUUGUCCGGAUUUACUGGGCGUAAAGAGCGCGCAGGCGGUCGUUCAAGUCGAGUGUGAAAGCCCCCGGCUCAACUGGGGAGGGUCAUUCGAUACUGAUCGACUUGAAGGCAGGAGAGGGAAGUGGAAUUCCCGGUGUAGUGGUGAAAUGCGUAGAUAUCGUAAGGAAGACCAGUGGCGAAGGCGGGUCUCUGGACAGUUCCUGACGCUGAGGCACGAAGGCCAGGGGAGCAAACGGG